CAUGUUUUUAAGUCCUGGUUAGUUAGUUAUCAUUUGUGGGAGUGUCUGGAUUUUCCUAGAGAGAGUUUUGUUAUUUUUGUUUUGCCUUGCCUCUACUGAUUGAAGAUGGCGACUGCUAAAAACCAAGAUGGACGUUGAAAAAUGCCAAACUCAAGGCUUCAAAACGGAAGUCCAGAAACCAGUGGGUGAGACCACGUCUAUCUUCAAAAGGUUAAGGCCAAGAACAAACAAGAAAGACAAAGGGCAUCAUCAAAAUCUCAACCGGUGACUUCAGAACCAAAACAAUGUUUCCGUCUUUAUUUGGCUGUUAGACAGGCAGGAGCCACAGCACAGCCGUGGAAAUAU